UACGGAGGGUGCAAGCGUUAUCCGGAUUCACUGGGUUUAAAGGGUGCGUAGGUGGGCAGGUAAGUCAGUGGUGAAAUCCCCGAGCUUAACUUGGGAACUGCCGUUGAUACUAUCUGUCUUGAAUAUCGUGGAGGUUAGCGGAAUAUGUCAUGUAGCGGUGAAAUGCAUAGAGAUGACAUAGAACACCAAUUGCGAAGGCAGCUGACUACGCGAGUAUUGACACUGAGGCACGAAAGCGUGGGGAUCAAACAGG
rnacentral:rRNA from 1 species